GGACUACACGGGUAUCUAAUCCUGUUUGCUACCCACGCUUUCGUGCCUCAGCGUCAGUAAUGGUCCAGCAAGCCGUCUACACCACAGGUGUUCCUCCUGAUAUCUACGCAUUUCACCGCUACACCAGGAAUUCCGCUUACCUCUCCCACACUCGAGCCCUCCAGUUUUCGGCGCACCCUCCCGGUUAAGCCGGGAGAUUUCACACCAAACUUAGAGGACCGCCUACGCACUCUUUACGCCCAGUAACUCCGAACAACGCUUGCUGCCUACGUAUUACCGCGGCGGCUGGCAC
rnacentral:rRNA from 1 species